AUCCGUUGAUCCUGCGGAAGAUUACUGCUAUCGGAAUUCGACUAAAGCAUGCAAGUCCUGGGGACCUUCGGGUCACCGGCGGAAUGCUCAGUAACACGUUGGUAAUCUAACCUUAGGUUGGGGAUAGCCUUGGGAAACUGAGAGUAAAACCCAAUAUAGGAGUUGUUCUGGAAAUGAUUUUUCCUUGAAAAGCAAUGCCCAAGGAUGAGCCAGCGGCUGAUUAGGCUGUUGGUAGGGUAACGGCCUACCAAACCUAAGAUCAGUAGGGGCCAUGAGAGUGGGAGCCCCGAGAAGGGCACUGAGAUAAGGGUCCUAGCUCUACGGAGUGCAGCAGCUGCGAAACCUUUACAAUACACGCAAGUGUGAUAAGGGGAAUCCGAGUGCCAAUGCAUAGCAUUGGCUUUUGCCAAGAGUAAAUAUCUUGGAGAAUAAGUGGUGGGUAAGACAGGUGCCAGCCGCCGCGGUAACACCCGCGCCACGAGUGGUGAUCGCGUUUAUUGGGCCUAAAGCGUCCGUAGCUGGAUUGAUAACUCUUUUGUGAAAUUGUUGGACUCAAUUCAACAACAUGCAGGAGAAACUGUCAAUCUUGGGACCGGAGAGAAGUCAGAAGUAUGCCGGGGGGAGCGGUAAAAUGCUAUAAUCCUCGGUAGACUACCUGUGGCGAAGGCGUCUGACUAGAACGGAUCUGACGGUGAGGGACGAAAGCUAGGGGAGCAAUCCGGAUUAGAUACCCGAGUAGUCCUAGCUGUAAACGCUGCGAGCUAGGCGUUGCACAUUCUUCGAGAAUGUGCAGUGUCGAAGCGAAGGCAUUAAGCUCGCCGCCUGGGAAGUACGGUCGCAAGACUGAAACUUAAAGGAAUUGGCGGGGGCGCACAACAAGGGGUGAGGCGUGCGGUUUAAUCCAAUUCCACACGGAGAAUCUCACCAGAAGCGACGGCAGAAUGAAAGUCCGAUUGAAGGUCGUACUUAACGAGCCGAGAGGUAGUGCAUGGCCGCCGCCAGCUCGUGCUGUAAGGUGUCCAGUUAAGUCUGGCAACGAGCAAGACCUGUGCCUACAAUUGCUAACGAAUUCUUUAGAAUGAUCGAGCACAUUGUGGGGACUGCCCUGGAAACAGGAAGGAAGGUGCAGGCAACGGUAGGUCUGUAUGCUCCGAAUCUUCUGGGCUACACGCGCGCACCAAUGGCAGUGACAAUGGGAUACAACUCCGAAAGGAGAAGUUAACCCUCUAAACACUGUCCCAGUCUAGAUCGUGGAUUGCAACCCAUCCACGUGACACCGGAAUCCCUAGUAAUCGGGUCUCAACAGGGCCCGGUGAAUAUGUCCCUGCGCCUUGCACACACCGCCCGUCAAACCACUCGAGCAGGGUUUGAGUGAGGACAAGUAAUCAUUGAUUUGUUCGAACUUGAGCUCAGUGAGAUGGGUUAAGUCGUCACAAGGUA
rnacentral:rRNA from 1 species